UUCCUUAGAUGUUAUGAUCCAGCUAUGAUCCAGCUUUACACUUUCUUCACCCAGAAGUGACCUCACCUUUUCAUGACAGAGGAAACAGAAGCCAUGGACUUCUUAAUGCUAUAUCUCACAAACCUGUAUGCAUUAACAGGAUGGAGUUUCUGUUUAUACUGUGAUGGGGAGGAUUGUGUAAGGAUCAGAUUUUGCAGUGGUAGCAGCUGGAGGAAUCAAUUUAGUUUCGGAAUGUUGAGUUUGAGAUGCUAUUAAACAUGGAGGAGAUAUUCAAAUUCUUGAAUUUCAGGGUAAAAGGAGGAAUUUACAAAGGAAAAAGAAAAUGACAUCUCUAGACUUUAGAAUGCAACCAAGAAUCCCUUUUUCAGUAAUAAACCCACUUGACAUUUUACAAAAAUGGAUAAGUGAAAGAGAGACUUGGCCACAGACAUGAAAGUACAGCACAGAAACAAAAAGUUACAACACUGGAAGUGAAAUUUGAAUUAACCAUUUGUGGGGUUUUAGAUGAAAUGGUUGACUGAGAAUGUUGAUCCUGCUGCCAUUCAAACAAGAGACUCUACAUAUGCAUCCAGCCAGAGAAAUUUAGUGACAGCAAAACUGUUGGCAUAAAUAAGGAAAUAAGGAAGAUGUCCCAGAGGAAGUGAAAUAUAUCUUCACAUUUAAGGAAUUCUUAAAGAUAUCUCAUGACAUUGAAAAUGCAAAAGGUAAAACGUCAAAAGCUGAUCCAAACUUAGGAAUAUGACAAUUCGCCAAGCAAAGAAAGGGUGCUUGCUCUAUUGUGUUACAUCAUGAGAAGACACUGCUUAAACUAUUACUGAUGUUUUUUUACAAAGAUAUAAAGCACUUUAAUUCUAAAAGUUUCUAAUGCUUUAAAUUACAAUGUAUUAAAUAAAUAUUAGUUUUACUACUUU